AGCAGCCGCGGUAAUUCCAGCUCCAAUAGCGUAUAUUAAAGUUGUUGCAGGUUAAAAAGCUCGUAGUUGAAUUUCGGGAUCAGUAGGUCGGUCGUGCCACUGGUAUGAACUGGUCUCACUGGUUCCUCCCUCUUGACGAACUGCAAUGCUAUUAAUUUAGUGUAGUAGGAAAUCAGGACUGUUACUUUGAAAAAAUUAGAGUGUUUAAAGCAGGCUUUAGCUUGAAUACAUUAGCAUGGAAUAAUGAAAUAGGACGUUCGAUCCUAUUUUGUUGGCUUCUAGGAUUGACGUAAUGAUUAAUAGGGACAGUUGGGGGCAUUAGUAUUCAAUUGUCAGAGGUGAAAUUCUUGGAUUUAUUGAAGACUAACUACUGCGAAAGCAUUUGCCAAGGAUGUUUUCAUUAAUCAAGAACGAAAGUUAGGGGAUCGAAGACGAUCAGAUACCGUCGUAGUCUUAACCAUAAACUAUGCCGACUAGGGAUCGGAUGAUGUUAAUUUUUAAUGA
rnacentral:rRNA from 1 species